GACGAACGCUGGCGGCGUGCCUAAUGCAUGCAAGUCGAACGCACUGCCUUCGGGCAGUGAGUGGCGCACGGCUGAGGAACACGUGGGAAUCUGCCCGACCGUGGGGGAUAACACGCCGAAAGGCGUGCUAAGCCCGCAUACGCUCGCAAGAGGAAAGCGGCAACGCGCGGUCGGAGGAGCCUGCGGCCCAUCAGGUAGUCGGCGGGGUAACGGCCCACCGAGCCGGUGACGGGUAGCUGGUCUGUGAGGACAGACAGCCAGACUGGGACUGAGACACGGCCCAGACUCCUACGGGAGGCAGCAGCAAGGAAUUUUCGGCAAUGGGCGCAAGCCUGACCGAGCAACGCCGCGUGGAGGACGACGGCCU
rnacentral:rRNA from 1 species